rnacentral:tRNA from 1 species
CUAGCUAGAGAGGAAUCACCCCCUCCUUAAUGA